AGUGAACGCUGGCGGUAGGCCUAACACAUGCAAGUCGAACGGCAGCACAGGAGAGCUUGCUCUCUGGGUGGCGAGUGGCGGACGGGUGAGGAAUACAUCGGAAUCUACUUUUUCGUGGGGGAUAACGUAGGGAAACUUACGCUAAUACCGCAUACGACCUACGGGUGAAAGCAGGGGACCUUCGGGCCUUGCGCGAUUGAAUGAGCCGAUGUCGGAUUAGCUAGUUGGUGGGGUAAAGGCCCACCAAGGCGACGAUCCGUAGCUGGUCUGAGAGGAUGCUCAGCCACACUGGAACUGAGACACGGUCCAGACUCCUACGGGAGGCAGCAGUGGGGAAUAUUGGACAAUGGGCGCAAGCCUGAUCCAGCCAUACCGCGUGGGUGAAGAAGGCCUUCGGGUUGUAAAGCCCUUUUGUUGGGGAAGAAAUCCAGCUGGCUAAUACCCGGUUGGGAUGACGGCACCCAAAGAAUAAGCACCGGCUAACUUCGUGCCAGCCGCCGCGGUAA
rnacentral:rRNA from 1 species